GACGGAGGAUGCAAGCGUUAUCCGGAAUUAUUGGGCGUAAAGCGUCCGCAGGUGGACAUACAAGUCUGCUGUCAAAGUGCAGAGCUUAACUCUGUAAAGGCGGUGGAAACUGUAGGUCUUGAGUAUGGUAGGGGUAGAGGGAAUUCCCGGUGUAGCGGUGAAAUGCGCAGAUAUCGGGAAGAACACCCGUGGCGAAGGCGGUUCUCUGGGACGGUACUGACGCUGAGACGCGAAAGCGUGGGGAGCGAACAGG
rnacentral:rRNA from 1 species